AGAGAGAGACAUGCGCGCAUAUCAAUAAGCGGAGGAAAAGAAACUAACAAGGAUUCCCUUAGUAACGGCGAGUGAAGCGGGAAGAGCUCAAAUUUGAAAUCUUCAAGGUUCUACCUUGACGAAUUGUAGUUUAUAGAAGUGUUUUCUGUUAGUGGAGUUGGCAAAAGUUCUUUGGAAUAGGACAUCGAUAGAGGGUGAGAAUCCCGUAUUUGGUCAUUCCUCCUAGCGUUGUGAUACACUUUCAACGAGUCGGAUUGUUUGGGAAUGCAGUCCAAAAUGGGUGGUAAAUUUCAUCUAAAGCUAAAUAUUGGCGAGAGACCGAUAGCGAACAAGUACCGUGAGGGAAAGAUGAAAAGAACUUUGAAAAGAGAGUUAAACAGUACGUGAAAUUGUCAAAAGGGAAGCGUUUGACACCAGUGUUGUUUUUCCGAAAAUCAAUUACGAAUGUUUUGUUUUCGAGGAGUUAUGACUUCAUCGGCUUGCUCCUUUCUUUACGAAACUUUCUUAAUGCACUUUUCGGUUAACAAGUCAACAUCAAUUUCUUUUGUUGUAAAAGGGUAUGAGGAAGGUGGCUUUCUUUUCGGAGAAAGUGUUUAUAGCCUUGUACCUCUGCAAUCGGAGAGAUUGAGGUCUGCAGCGUAGAUCCUUCGGGGUUAGAUACAUUUGUGCUAAGUUAUAGCUUUUCAUAGACAACUUGUUGACUAUGUUUAGUCUUGUAGCUUACUCGCUUACGCUAUUUUACCUACGCUUAGGAUGUUGAUAGUCACAGCGUGUAC
rnacentral:rRNA from 1 species